UUAAGGCGAUGAAACGGGAAGUUGCUGAGCUAUCAGGUAAUUUCCGUGGAGAAUUGUCCUCACUUGAUGGGGGCGA
rfam:Firmicutes bacterium CAG:238 genomic scaffold, scf156